rnacentral:miRNA from 1 species
UGUGUGUGUGUGUGUGUGUGUGUGUGCGCAUGCGUGCGCGCGCGCACACACACACACACACACAUGCACAUACG